AGCCGGAGCACGCCAUAUUGGACCGUCGUCCCCCGAUUACACCCCUAUCCCGUUCCCAUAAAGAACGCUGAAGGAGAGAAAGCCAUUUGGCCUUUCCGGAAGAUGCUGGCCAGUCAGCCAUGGGGCAGGCAGGGUGUGACUCAGGGUCUUCUGAUCCCACCGGGUGCAACAAAUAAGAACAAGAGAACCAGAUACCAACAAAAAUGGAUAGCCCGGGUGAUCCAGCAUCUCAUUCUGCAUUCAGAACAGCUUCAAGUCUGCUGGCUGAGACAGUCCAGCCUCACAAACUACUCCAACCAAGACUUUACAAUUGUAAAAGAACCCUGAUUUUCUCAAGGUUCCCCCUAAAAUACCAGUGACCACAGACAACAGGAAAUCAUCUCAAGAACGAUGCCCACAUUCCAAGAGACAGGAUAUGUGUGGGGUUUGGUCAUUCAAUGGAUUAUAAAUGUUUGUCACUAUUUAGGGAGGAUUGGUUAAAAGUUGUUAUUGUUCAUAGGGGAAAAAAAGCUAAACAAAAGAAUUAAAUUCAAAGAUCUCUUUCUAAAGGAAAAAAGGGGAUAUGAUAUGGAAAUGAUGAGAUAAAAGGGUAGAUUAUUGAAUCAUUUUAAUCCAAAAAAUAACUAUUAAUCUCAAAAUAUUUUACAUUGGUAUGGAUUUUGGUUUAUUGAUACAAAUUUAAAGUUAAUUUUGUUGUACUGUAUGUGUGUUUCUACUCUUGUUUGG
rnacentral:lncRNA from 1 species